ACAACAACAUUCGGACCGUCGGUCUACCGAGCAAUAUCACCCGCUCGGUGGAAGAUCUUCCCUUUGUCGUAUACC
rnacentral:pre_miRNA from 1 species